AAUUCAAAUUAAUUUCCAAUAUAAUUAAUUAACUCAAUAAUUUAGAAGAAUAAAAAUGGCGAAAUAUUUGAUUUUUGUUUUGGCAAUCAUCUCCAUUUGGAUGGUGACUGUUAUAUAUGGUGGUCCCACGUGUAAGCCAUUCCUAUUUAAGUGUUUUGAACAUAUGUUUUGAGAGUGAUGAAUGCAGGUUACGUUGUGGUAGUGAAGGCGAAUGCGAAUGAUAACUGCCAGAAUAAAUUUAGCGUCCCAGAUAUGAUAUGAGCC